rnacentral:rRNA from 1 species
GACGAACGCUGGCGGCGUGCUUAACACAUGCAAGUCGAACGGAAAGGCCUGCUUUCCCUUGUGGAUUGCGGGUACUCGAGUGGCGAACGGGUGAGUAACACGUGAGUGAUCUGCCCCCAACUUGGGUAUAAGCCUGGGAAACUGGGUCUAAUUCCCGAUAGGACUGCAGGGUGGUGCCUGUGGUGGAAAACGAUUUUCUAGUGGUUGGGGAUGAGCUCGCGGCCUAUCAGCUUGUUGGUGGGGUAAUGGCCUGCCAAGGCGGCGACGGGUAGCCGGCCUGAGAGGGUGGACGGCCACAUUGGGACUGAGAUACGGCCCAGACUCCUACGGGAGGCAGCAGUGGGGAAUAUUACACAAUGGGCGGAAGCCUGAUGCAGCGACGCCGCGUGGGGGAUGACGGCCUUCGGGUUGUAAACUCCUUUCGACCGCGAGGAAGCCACCUGGUUGGAAGGGUGGUGACGGUAGUGGUAGAAGAAGCACCGGCUAACUACGUG